rnacentral:rRNA from 1 species
GACGAACGCUGGCGGCGUGCCUAAUACAUGCAAGUCGAGCGAGCGGAACUAACAGAUUUACUUCGGUAAUGACGUUAGGAAAGCGAGCGGCGGAUGGGUGAGUAACACGUGGGGAACCUGCCCCAUAGUCUGGGAUACCACUUGGAAACAGGUGCUAAUACCGGAUAAGAAAGCAGAUCGCAUGAUCAGCUUUUAAAAGGCGGCGUAAGCUGUCGCUAUGGGAUGGCCCCGCGGUGCAUUAGCUAGUUGGUAAGGUAAAGGCUUACCAAGGCGAUGAUGCAUAGCCGAGUUGAGAGACUGAUCGGCCACAUUGGGACUGAGACACGGCCCAAACUCCUACGGGAGGCAGCAGUAGGGAAUCUUCCACAAUGGACGCAAGUCUGAUGGAGCAACGCCGCGUGAGUGAAGAAGGUUUUCGGAUCGUAAAGCUCUGUUGGUAGUGAAGGAAGAUAGAGGUAGUAACUGGCCUUUAUUUGACGGUAAUUACUUAGAAAGUCACGGCUAACUACGUGCCAGCAGCCGCGGUAAUACGUAGGUGGCAAGCGUUGUCCGGAUUUAUUGGGCGUAAAGCGAGUGCAGGCGGUUCAAUAAGUCUGAUGUGAAAGCCUUCGGCUCAACCGGAGAAUUGCAUCAGAAACUGUUGAACUUGAGUGCAGAAGAGGAGAGUGGAACUCCAUGUGUAGCGGUGGAAUGCGUAGAUAUAUGGAAGAACACCAGUGGCGAAGGCGGCUCUCUGGUCUGCAACUGACGCUGAGGCUCGAAAGCAUGGGUAGCGAACAGG